CGGACGGGUGAGUAACGCGUGGGUAACCUGCCUCAUACAGGGGGAUAACGAUUGGAAACGAUUGCUAAUACCGCAUAAGCGCACAGUACCACAUGGUGCAGUGUGAAAAACUCCGGUGGUAUGAGAUGGACCCGCGUCUGAUUAGCUAGUUGGUGAGGUAACGGCCCACCAAGGCAACGAUCGGUAGCCGACCUGAGAGGGUGAUCGGCCACAUUGGAACUGAGAGACGGUCCAA
rnacentral:rRNA from 1 species